ACCAGCUCUUCAAGUGGUCGGGAUAAUUAUUGGGCUUAAAGUGUCCGUAGCCGGUUUAGUAAGUUCCUGGUAAAAUCGGGUAGCUUAACUAUCUGCAUGCUAGGAAUACUGCUAUACUAGAGGGUGGGAGAGGUCUGAGGUACUACAGGGGUAGGGGUGAAAUCUUAUAAUCCUUGUAGGACCACCAGUGGCGAAGGCGUCAGACUGGAACGCGCCUGACGGUGAGGGACGAAAGCCAGGGGAGCGAACCGGAUUAGAUACCCGGGUAGUCCUGGCCGUAAACGAUGCAUACUAGGUGAUGGCACGGCCAUGAGCCAUGUCAGUGCCGUAGGGAAACCGUUAAGUGUGCCGCCUGGGAAGUACGGUCGCAAGGCUAAAACUUAAAGGAAUUGGCGGGGAGCACCACAAGGGGUGAAGCCUGCGGUUU
rnacentral:rRNA from 1 species